CCUACGGGAGGCAGCAGUGAGGAAUAUUGGUCAAUGGGGGAGAGCCUGAACCAGCCAAGCCGCGUGAAGGAUGAAGGAUCUCUGGUUUGAAAACUUCUUUUAUAUGGGAAUAAAGUGAGGAACGCGUUCCUUUUUGUAAGUACCAUAUGAAUAAGCACAGGCUAAGUCCGUGCUAGCAGCCGCGGUAAUACGGAGGAUGCAAGCGUUAUCCGGAUUUAUGGGGUUUAAAGGGGGCGUAGGUGGUUAAUUAAGUCAGCGGUGAAAGUUUGUGGCUCAACCAUUAAAUUGCAGUUGAAACUGGUUGACUUGAGUAUAUUAGAGGUAGGCGGAAUGCGUGGUGUAGCGGUGAAAUGCAUAGAUAUUACGAAGAACUCCGAUGGCGAAGGCAGCUUACUAAACUAUAACUGACGCUGAGGCACGAAAGCGUGGGGAUCAAACAGGAUUAGAUACCCUAGUAGUC
rnacentral:rRNA from 1 species